GGCGAGUGAAGCGGCAACAGCUCAAAUUUGAAAUCUGGCCUCUUUGGGGUCCGAGUUGUAAUUUGUAGAGGAUGUUUCGGGUACCGCCUCGGUCUAAAUUUCUUGGAACAGAAUGUCAAAGAGGGUGAGAAUCCCGUCUUGGACCGGCGGUAGGGCCCAUGUGAAACUCCUUCGACGAGUCGAGUUGUUUGGGAAUGCAGCUCAAAAUGGGUGGUAAAUUUCAUCUAAAGCUAAAUAUUGGCCAGGGACCGAUAGCGCACAAGUAGAGUGAUCGAAAGAUGAAAAGCACUUUGAAAAGAGAGUUAAACAGUAUGUGAAAUUGUUGAAAGGGAAGCGCUUGCAACCAGACUUGAGCGCGGCGGUUCCCCCUUCCUUUUGGUUGGGUUACUCCGCCGUGUCCAGGCCAACAUCGGUUCUGGGGGUCGGUUAAAGGCCCGAGGAAUGUAUCUACUCCUUCGGGGGUAGACUUAUAGCCUCGGGUGUCAUGCGACCUCCCGGGACCGAGGAACGCACUUCGGCUCGGAUGUUGGCGUAAUGGUUGUCAGCGACCCGUCUUGAAACACGGACCCAGGAGUCUAACAUCUAUGCGAGUGUUUGGGUGUCAAACCCGGAACGCGGAAUGAAAGUGAACGGAGGUAGGAAGCCGCAAGGCUGCACUAUCGACCGAUCCUGAUGUCUUCGGAUGGAUUUGAGUAAGAGC
rnacentral:rRNA from 1 species